AUGGCGCUCUCCCUCUCCACCUCCUUCCUCCCGACCCCAGGCGCCGCCGCCGUCGCGAGAACCGCAAACCGCACCCUCCGCUCCCUCGUCCCCUCCCAGGGGAUGAGGUGCUCGAUGCGGAAGAAGGGGCUGCACCCGGAGAUCUUCGAGGACGCCAAGGUGUACUGCAACGGUGAGCUGGUGCUGGUGACGGGGGGCACGAAGCCGGAGUACUCGGUGGACGUCUGGUCGGGGAACCACCCCUACUACGUCGGCGACUCCUCGGCGCUGGUCGUCAUGGACAGCCAGAUCGAGAAGUUCCGCAAGAAGUGGGGGCACGUCAAGGAGUACUGGACCAAGGAGCAGUGGCUGGAGAUGCACCCUGACGGCGACCCGGAGUUUGAGCCGGAGGACGACGAGACCCGCAAAUGA
rnacentral:rRNA from 1 species